CCUGCCGUUGGAUCAGUUCUAGUUUUAAUAACUAACACCAACUUCUUUUAUUAAACAAAAACCAAUACAAAAUUAAAAACUAACUUCAUCAAAAACCAAGUCUCUAAGCAAUGGAUGUCUUGGCUCCUCACACGAUGAAGAACGUGGCAUAAUGUGUUAAGUAACCGGAGUUGCAAACAUCAUGACAGGUUAAUCUUUGAAUGCAAAUUGCGCUAAACUCGAUCUCGGUCGAGAAGCAUGGGUGUGACAGUACUACAUCUUUUAUAAUAAUUCUUAUUCUAAGCGAAUAAGUAAAUAAUAUAUAAGACAAACAACACGUAGUCUGCCAUACGCAGGAAGACCCGCUGAACUGAAGCAUCUCAUUAAGCGG
rnacentral:rRNA from 1 species